rnacentral:pre_miRNA from 1 species
AGUGGAAUAGCUGGGUUAAAUGGUGGUUUCAUUCCAGGUUUUCUGAGGUAGCUCCAUACUGCUUUCCAGAUUGGUUGUACCAAUUUGCCGUCCCACCAGCAAU